rnacentral:rRNA from 1 species
GACGAACGCUGGCGGCGUGCUUAACACAUGCAAGUCGAACGGAAAGGCCCUGCUUGCAGGGUACUCGAGUGGCGAACGGGUGAGUAACACGUGGGUGAUCUGCCCUGCACUUCGGGAUAAGCCUGGGAAACUGGGUCUAAUACCGGAUAGGAGCCAUUUUUAGUGUGAUGGUUGGAAAGUUUUUUCGGUGUAGGAUGAGCUCGCGGCCUAUCAGCUUGUUGGUGGGGUAAUGGCCUACCAAGGCGGCGACGGGUAGCAGGCCUGAGAGGGUGGACGGCCACAUUGGGACUGAGAUACGGCCCAGACUCCUACGGGAGGCAGCAGUGGGGAAUAUUGCACAAUGGGCGCAAGCCUGAUGCAGCGACGCCGCGUGGGGGAUGACGGCCUUCGGGUUGUAAACUCCUUUCGCUAGGGACGAAGCUUUUUGUGACGGUACCUAGAUAAGAAGCACCGGCUAACUACGUG